UAGCAAUAGGUUGAUGGCGACCGGCGCACGUGUGAGUAACACGUAUCCAACCUACCGGUUAUUCCGGGAUAGCCUUUCGAAAGAAAGACUAAUACCGGAUAGUAUAACGAGAAGGCAUCUUCUUGUUAUUAAAGAAUUUCGAUAACCGAUGGGGAUGCGUUCCAUUAGUUUGUUGGCGGGGUAACGGCCCACCAAGACAUCGAUGGAUAGGGGUUCUGAGAGGAAGGUCCCCCACAUUGGAACUGAGACACGGUCCAAACUCCUACGGGAGGCAGCAGUGAGGAAUAUUGGUCAAUGGACGAGAGUCUGAACCAGCCAAGUAGCGUGAAGGAUGACUGCCCUAUGGGUUGUAAACUUCUUUUAUAUGGGAAUAAAGUGAGCCACGUGUGGCUUUUUGUAUGUACCAUACGAAUAAGGAUCGGCUAACUCCGUGCCAGCAGCCGCGGUAAUACGGAGGAUCCGAGCGUUAUCCGGAUUUAUUGGGUUUAAAGGGAGCGUAGGCGGACUAUUAAGUCAGCUGUGAAAGUUUGCGGCUCAACCGUAAAAUUGCAGUUGACACUGGUCGUCUUGAGUGCAGUAGAGGUAGGCGGAAUUCGUGGUGUAGCGGUGAAAUGCUUAGAUAUCACGAAGAACUCCGAUUGCGAAGGCAGCUUACUGGACUGUAACUGACGCUGAUGCUCGAAAGUGUGGGUAUCAAACAGGAUUAGAUACCCUGGUAGUCCACACAGUAAACGAUGAAUACUCGCUGUUUGCGAUAUACAGCAAGCGGCCAAACGAAAGCAUUAAG
rnacentral:rRNA from 1 species